rnacentral:rRNA from 1 species
UACGUAGGCAGCGAGCGUUGUUCGGAGUUACUGGGCGUAGAGGGUGUGUAGGCGGUUGGUUAAGUUUGGUGUGAAAUCUCCCGGCUCAACUGGGAGGGUGCGCCGAAUACUGAAUGACUUGGAGUGCGGGAGAGGUGAGUGGAAUUCCCGGUGUAGUGGUGAAAUGCGUAGAUAUCGGGAGGAACACCAGUGGCGAAGGCGACUACCUGGCCUGUUCUUGACGCUGAGGCGCGAAAGCUAGGGGAGCAAACGGG